UGCGGCCCCAUUAUGUUGAAACACCGAUUCUCGUACGAUCACCGAAGAUAAGCAACGUCGAGCCUGGUCAGUACUUCGAUGCGUGACGCUUUGGGAAUACCAGGCGCUGUAAG